rnacentral:tRNA from 2 species
GCUGUUGUAGCUCAGUGGUAGAGCACUUCCUUGGUAAGGAAGAGGUCGUGAGUUCAAGUCUCAUCAACAGCU